GACGAACGCUGGCGGCGUGCCUAACACAUGCAAGUCGAACGGAAAGGCCCUGCUUUUGUGGGGCGCUCGAGUGGCGAACGGGUGAGUAACACGUGAGGAGCCCGCCCCUGACUUUGGGAUAACUCCAGGAAACUGGGGCUAAUACCGGAUAGGAGCUCUUGCUGCAUGGUGGGGGAUGGAAAGUUUCGGCGGUUGGGGAUGGACUCGCGGCUUAUCAGCUGGUUGGGGAGGUAGUGGCUUACCAAGGCUUUGACGGGUAGCCGGCCUGGGAGGGUUACCGGCCACAUUGGGACUAAGAGACGGACCAGACUGCUACGGGAGGCAACAGUGGGGAGUCUUGCGCAAUGGGCGGAAGCCUGAUGCGACAACGCCGCGUGCGGAAUGACGGGCUUCGGGUUGUAAACCGCUUUCGCCUGUGACGAAGCGUGAGUGACGGUAAUGGGUCAAGAAGCACCGGCUAACUACGUG
rnacentral:rRNA from 1 species